rnacentral:lncRNA from 1 species
CGGCCACCCUAGGCUCUUAUCAUCUGCUGGAUCUUGGAGAUGUUUUUGAGAUUUGUUUCCUGGGCUUUUAGAAAAGCAAAGUGAACACAAAAUUCACUCUGACCAGACACGUGCUGUGAGAGGCGGGACGCGGUGAGAGGCAGAGAAGCAGACACUUGGGGCUUUUGAAAGUGGAUUUUUGAAUGCUAAAAAAAAAAAAAAUCUGUAAUUUCCAGUUUUAAAGAGCUGCCUAAAAGGAUAAUUGAGCAGAUUAAAAAGCUCACUUUCUG